AUGCAUCCUUCCGCAGGUUCACCUACAGAA
rnacentral:rRNA from 1 species